UACGUAGGGAGCAAGCGUUGUCCGGAAUCAUUGGGCGUAAAGCGCGCGUAGGCGGCCCUGUAAGUCCGUUGUGAAAGUCAAAGGCUCAACCUUUGAAAGCCGAUGGAUACUGCAGGGCUAGAGUCCGGAAGAGGCGAGUGGAAUUCCUGGUGUAGCGGUGGAAUGCGCAGAUAUCAGGAGGAACACCAGCGGCGAAGGCGGCCAUCUGGACAGAUAUUGACGCUGAGGUGCGAAAGCGUGGGGAGCAAACAGG
rnacentral:rRNA from 1 species